GGGUUGUGAGGUUAAGCGACUAAGCGUACACGGUGGAUGCCCUGGCAGUCAGAGGCGAUGAAGGACGUGCUAAUCUGCGAUAAGCGCCGGUAAGGUGAUAUGAACCGUUAUAACCGGCGAUUUCCGAAUGGGGAAACCCAGUGUGAUUCGUCACACUAUCAUUAACUGAAUCCAUAGGUUAAUGAGGCGAACCGGGGGAACUGAAACAUCUAAGUACCCCGAGGAAAAGAAAUCAACCGAGAUUCCCCCAGUAGCGGCGAGCGAACGGGGAGGAGCCCAGAGCCUGAAUCAGCAUGUGUGUUAGUGGAAGCGUCUGGAAAGGCGCGCGAUACAGGGUGACAGCCCCGUACACAAAAGCGCAUAUGCUGUGAGCUCGAUGAGUAGGGCGGGACACGUGGUAUCCUGUCUGAAUAUGGGGGGACCAUCCUCCAAGGCUAAAUACUCCUGACUGACCGAUAGUGAACCAGUACCGUGAGGGAAAGGCGAAAAGAACCCCGGCGAGGGGAGUGAAAAAGAACCUGAAACCGUGUACGUACAAGCAGUGGGAGCACAGGUUUACCUGUGUGACUGCGUACCUUUUGUAUAAUGGGUCAGCGACUUAUAUUCUGUAGCAAGGUUAACCGUAUAGGGGAGCCGUAGGGAAACCGAGUCUUAAUUGGGCGUUAAGUUGCAGGGUAUAGACCCGAAACCCGGUGAUCUAGCCAUGGGCAGGUUGAAGGUUGGGUAACACUAACUGGAGGACCGAACCGACUAAUGUUGAAAAAUUAGCGGAUGACCUGUGGC
rnacentral:rRNA from 1 species